UAUGACGUAAUAAUUGCACGCAUGACAUCAUAUAUGCCGGCUUAACCAUUUGACCUUUGGGGAUUCGUUGCGAAUUGCUUGCGGAUUAUUGUGUUUUUUUACAUUUGUUGUUGGUUUUUCAGUUUUUCUUUAGUGGUAUAGUUCGCGAAGAUUCCUCAAUGCUCCACGAUGUCUUCAAUUAUAAGAUGUCUAUCCUUAAGUCGAAAUACCGUUUUACGAAGAACAGUGGAUAGAUUUGUAACUGGUUCAGCAAAUAGAUAUCUGUCAACCUCAUCUCAAAUGAAUGGU